rnacentral:rRNA from 1 species
UACGUAGGGUGCGAGCGUUGUCCGGAAUUAUUGGGCGUAAAGAGCUCGUAGGCGGUGUGUCACGUCGAUCGUGAAAACUUGGGGCUUAACCCUGAGCUUGCGGUCGAUACGGGCAUCACUGGAGUUCGGCAGGGAGACUGGAAUUCCUGGUGAUAGCGGUGGAAAUACGGCAGAUAUCAGGAGGAACACCGGUGGCGAAGGCGGGUCUCUGGGCCGAUACUGACGCUGGAGGAGCGAAAGCGUCGGGAGCAAACAGG